AUUGAACGCUGGCGGCAGGCCUAACACAUGCAAGUCGAGCGGAAGAAGGGCGCUUGCUCCUGGAUUCAGCGGCGGACGGGUGUGUAAUGCCUAGGAAUCUGCCGGGUAGUGGGGGAUAACGUCCGGAAACGGGCGCUAAUACCGCAUGCGUCCUGGGGGAGAGAGUGGGGGAACUUCGGACCUCACGCUCUCGGAUGAGCCUAGGUCGGAUUAGCUAGUUGGUGGGGUAAAGGCCUACCAAGGCGACGAUCCGUAACUGGUCUGAGAGGAUGAUCAGUCACACUGGAACUGAGACACGGUCCAGACUCCUACGGGAGGCAGCAGUGGGGAAUAUUGGACAAAGGGCGAAAGCCUGAUCCAGCCAUGCCGCGUGUGUGAAGAAGGUCUUCGGAUUGUAAAGCACUUUAGGUUGGGAGGAAGGGCAGUAAGUUAAUACCUUGCUGUUUUGACGUUACCAACAGAAUAAGCACCGGCUAACUUCGUG
rnacentral:rRNA from 1 species